GAUGAAGAACGCAGCGAAAUGCGAUAAGUAAUGUGAAUUGCAGAAUUCAGUGAAUCAUCGAAUCUUUGAACGCACAUUGCGCCCGCCAGUAUUCUGGCGGGCAUGCCUGUCCGAGCGUCAUUUCAACCCUCGAACCCCUCCGGGGGGUCGGCGUUGGGGAUCGGCCCUUUACCGGCCGGCCCCGAAAUACAGUGGCGGUCUCGCCGCAGCCUCUCCUGCGCAGUAGUUUGCACACUCGCACCGGGAGCGCGGCGCAGUCCAAUGCCGUAAAACACCCAACUUUCUGAAAUGUUGACCUCGGAUCAGGUAGGAAUACCCGCUGAACUUAAGCAUAUCAAUAAGCGGAGGA
rnacentral:misc_RNA from 1 species